CGUCCAUCGGCUCCUUCUUUGUCUCCUACAGAGAAAAGAGAAAGCUUUGUUCGUCAAGUUGGAGUCUCCAUUCUAUGAUUUCAAAUCCAAUUUUGAUUUCACCUUCUCAAAUACACUUUAUAAACUGCCCCAAUUCCACCUUCUCCAAGUUUAUUCUCGAUUGAAAAUUGAUGUGUGGCAUCUUGUAACUUAGUGAAAUCAAAUCUCAUGGAAUCUGUGUGAUUGGGAGAUCGUCCGGGACAAGAAAAAUUCCCUGGAGAUCGCAACGAUUGGGAGAAACCAAUAAGGGGUUUACUAGAAGGGCUUAAAGGCAAAGCAUCCGUGACUGGUAGGAGAAUGAAGAACUUUGGUGUGAGAGAAACAAGUGGGACAUCGUUUGUACGGUAUGGUCCAGUGCACGGCGGAUAUAUCGCUCGUAUUGUUUGUCACAGGGUAUUGCAAAGAUUUCGAGCUGUUGUAAUAUGAAAUGGGUAGUUAUGUGUUCUCCUACCUGUAUGGUGGCUUAUACUCCAUGGAGAUUCUAUGAUCCAGUGGACACCACUAAUGAGCCAAGCUCAUGCCUGCUACCCCGGGGAAUGAGGCGAGAAGUGUCGCACAAGGGGAUAGAAAAAGAUGUGUACCAAAAGCUUUGAUCUUUGCGGCUGUUUUAGCUGUUGUUGGUGUCUUAUUUAUCAUAUUCUUAGUCUUUUCCUAAGGUCUAGGAAGAGGAAAAUAUGAGGAGGACAUAUAAAGAAGAACGAAACCUUGAAGACAUUAGCACAGAUUCCAUGAGAUUUGAUUUCACUACGUUACAAUAUGCCACAAGUCAAUUUUCAAUCGAGAAUAAACUUGGAGAAAGUGGAUUUGGGGCAGUUUAUAAAGUGUAUUUGAGAAGGUGAAAUCGAAAUUGGAUUUGAAAGCAUAGAAUUGGAGAUUCCAACUUGACAAACAAAGCUUUCUAUUUUCUCUAUAAGAGACGAAGAAGGAGCCGAUGGACGCGUUGACAAAACACUCGUUCUCUUUUUUGCUAACGGCCACAACCUUUUUUCUUUCCUUUUUUUUUGUUUUUUUUUAUUUUGUUUCCACUUUUUAUUAAUUCUACAUGGCAAAAUGAUUAGUGUCAAGAGUCGAGGUGAAUUAAAGAGUUCACUAGAACCCAAGAUU